UGUGCGCCCAAACUCGCCAGUCAACAGCAUUCUGGCAUCAACAAGCAGAAAUGGCACACUUGAAGCAGAUAGUCUAUCUCGACAUAAGAGCAAAACCGCUGGGAUGGGUCCAGAUGGGUUUCCUGUGUUGCCUCCAAUACAGAAGCCUUUGAGACAAAAAGAAGACCCAUACUCCAAGAGCAAAUUAAUGACAUUCCGCUUGGCUGAUCAAAAUAAAGCUCUUCUCAUGCAGAUUUUACAUGACAGUGCCAUCAAAGCAGCAGAUGAGGCUCACUUUUUUAAUGAGACAAAAACAGAAGAAAGUCCUGGUCACCAGAAUAUCCUGUUGAGAUGAUGAGCAAAGAUCGAAGGAUAAGGAUAAACUACCAGUUCCUCAAGAAGUCUGUGGAGAGUGGCCCCAUCACACCUAUGCAGCAUCAGUGGGCAGACCACAUCAAGAACCUGAUCCCUGAACAUCUU